rnacentral:rRNA from 1 species
AACGAACGCUGGCGGCAUGCCUAACACAUGCAAGUCGAACGACAGCUCCGGGAGUAGUGGCGCAUGCGGGCGUCACGUGUGGGAACCUGCCGUUAGGCUCGGAAUAACUCUUCGACAGGGGUGCUAAUAUCGGAAAACUUACGCUGACAAAAGAUUGAUCCUCCUGGGGUGGGCACGCGUUGGAUUGGCAUGUUGGUAGGGUAAAAGCCUACCAAGGCGACGCUACAUAGCUGGGCAGAGAGGAUGAUCCGCCACUCUGGGUCUGUGACCCGGCCCAGACUCCUACGGGAGGCAGCAGUGGGGAAUAUUGGACAAUGGGGGAAAGGCUGAUGCAGCAAGGCCGCGUGAGUGAUGAAGGCCUUAGGGUUGUAAAGCUCUUUUACCCGGGGUGAUAAUGACAGUACCGGGAGAAUAAGCACCGGCUAACUCCGUG